GACGGAGGGGGCAAGCGUUGUUCGGAAUUAUUGGGCGUAAAGGGCUCGUAGGCGGACCGGUGUGUCUGGCGUGAAAUCUCCACUGCUUAACAGGGAGGGGCCGCUGGAAACUGCCGAUCUUGAGUAUGGUAGAGGACCAUGGAAUUUCGGGUGUAGCGGUGGAAUGCGUAGAUAUCCGAAAGAACACCGGUGGCGAAGGCGGUGGUCUGGACCAAAACUGACGCUGAGGAGCGAAAGCCAGGGGAGCAAACGGGAUUAGAUACCCCGGUAGUCCUGGCUGUAAACGGUGGAUACUAGGUGUGGGGGGUAUCGACCCCUCCUGUGCCGCAGCUAACGCAUUAAGUAUCCCGCCUGGGAAGUACGGCCGCAAGGUUGAA
rnacentral:rRNA from 1 species